rnacentral:rRNA from 1 species
GUCCACGCUGUAAACGAUGAAUACUAGGUGUGGGAGGACUGACCCCUUCCGUGCCGCAGUUAACACAAUAAGUAUUCCACCUGGGGAGUACGAUCGCAAGAUUGAAACUCAAAGGAAUUGACGGGGGCCCGCACAAGCAGUGGAUUAUGUGGUUUAAUUCGACGCAACGCGAAGAACCUUACCGGGAUUUGACAUCCAACUAACGAAGUAGAGAUACAUUAGGUGCCCUUCGGGGAAAGUUGAGACAGGUGGUGCAUGGUUGUCGU